GAAAUGCGAUAAAUAAUGUGAAUUGCAGAAUUCAGUGAAUCAUCGAAUCUUUGAACGCACAUUGCGCCCGCCAGCACUCUGGCGGGCAUGCCUGUUCGAGCGUCAUUUCAACCCUCAGAACCCCUUGCGGGAUCUGGCGUUGGGGAUUGGCAUCCAGCCAGCCCCGAAAUCUAGUGGCGGUCCCUCCGCGACCUCCCCUGUGCAGUAGCGAUACCUCGCAGCGGGACAGCGGUCUGACCACGCCGUAAAACCCCCAACUUCUCAAGGUUGACCUCGAAUCAGGUAGGAAUACCCGCUGAACUUAAGC
rnacentral:misc_RNA from 1 species